rnacentral:rRNA from 1 species
AUUGAACGCUGGUGGCAGGCCUAACACAUGCAAGUCGAGCGAGCGGCGGACGGGUGAGUAAUGUAUGGGGACUGCCCGAUCGAGGGGGAUAACUACUGGCAACGGUGACUAAUACCGCAUACUAUCGGAUAACCCAUAGGGGAUUAGCUAGUAGGUGGGGUAAAGGCUCACCUAGGCGACGCUCUCUAGCUGGUCUGAGAGGAUGAUCAGCGACACUGGGACUGAGACACGGCCCAGACUCCUACGGAGGCAGCAGUGGGGAAUAUUGCGCAAUGGGCGCAAGCCUGAUGGAGCCAUGCCGCGUGUAUGAAGAAGGCCUUAGGGUUGUAAAGUACUUUCAGCGGGGAAGCGUUACCCACAGAGGAAGCACCGGCUAACUCCGUGCCAGCAGCCGCGGUAAUAC